CGGGACGGGUGAGUAAUGUCUGGGAAACUGCCUGAUGGAGGGGGGUAACUACUGGAAACGGUAGCUAAUACCGCAUAACGUCUUCGGACCAAAGUGGGGGACCUUCGGGCCUCACGCCAUCGGAUGUGCCCAGACGGGAUUAGCUAGUAGGUGGGGUAAUGGCUCACCUAGGCGACGAUCCCUAGCUGGUCUGAGAGGAUGACCAGCCACACUGGAACUGAGACACGGUCCAG
rnacentral:rRNA from 1 species